GUUAGGAGUAGAAGUGGACAGCAAAAAGGAAAAUUCUGAUGGUGUAUUUGUUGUCCCUGGCAAUAAUGCAUUUGGCAACUCAUUCAGGGAUUAUAGUGCAGAGACUGAACGCCAAAAGAUAGUGCGUGAACUCUAUCACCAGAGUCACAUUAACCAAACAUAUGAUUUUGU